rnacentral:rRNA from 1 species
UACGUAGGUGGCAAGCGUUAUCCGGAAUUAUUGGGCGUAAAGCGCGCGCAGGCGGUUUCUUAAGUCUGAUGUGAAAGCCCACGGCUCAACCGUGGAGGGUCAUUGGAAACUGGGGAACUUGAGUGCAGAAGAGAAAAGCGGAAUUCCACGUGUAGCGGUGAAAUGCGUAGAGAUGUGGAGGAACACCAGUGGCGAAGGCGGCUUCCUGGACCGGUUCUGACACUGAGGAGCGAAAGCGUGGGGAGCGAUCCGG